AGUUCGGAUUGUAGUCUGCAACCCGACUACAUGAAGCUGGAAUCGCUAGUAAUCGCGGAUCAGAAUGCCGCGGUGAAUACGUUCCCGGGUCUUGUACACACCGCCCGUCACACCAUGGGAGUCGGAAAUGCCCGAAGUCUGUGACCCAACCAUUAAGGAGGGAGCAGCCGAAGGCAGGUCGGAUGACUGGGGUGAAGUCGUAACAAGGUAAC
rnacentral:rRNA from 1 species